rnacentral:tRNA from 1 species
AGGCCCAUAGGUCAGCGGUAGACCAGUCGGCUCAUAACCGAUCUGUCCCAGGUUCGAACCCUGGUGGGCCUA